rnacentral:rRNA from 1 species
GAAGCAAACGGAAUCCUUCGGGAGGAAGUUUGUGGAACGAGCGGCGGACGGGUGAGUAACACGUGGGCAACCUACCUGUAAGAUUGGGAUAACCCCGGGAAACCGGGGCUAAUACCAGAUAAUACUUACCAUCUCAUGGUGGUAAGUUGAAAGGCGGCUUUUAGCUGUCACUUACAGAUGGGCCCGCGGCGCAUUAGCUAGUUGGUGAGGUAACGGCUCACCAAGGCAACGAUGCGUAGCCGACCUGAGAGGGUGAUCGGCCACACUGGGACUGAGACACGGCCCAGACUCCUACGGGAGGCAGCAGUAGGGAAUCUUCCGCAAUGGACGAAAGUCUGACGGAGCAACGCCGCGUGAGUGAUGAAGGUUUUCGGAUCGUAAAACUCUGUUGUUAGGGAAGAACAAGUACCGUUCGAAUAGGGCGGUACCAUGACGGUACCUAACCAGAAAGCCCCGGCUAACUACGUGCCAGCAGCCGCGGUAAUACGUAGGGGGCAAGCGUUGUCCGGAAUUAUUGGGCGUAAAGCGCUCGCAGGCGGUCUUUUAAGUCUGAUGUGAAAGCCCACGGCUCAACCGUGGAGGGUCAUUGGAAACUGGAGGACUUGAGUACAGAAGAGGAGAGUGGAAUUCCACGUGUAGCGGUGAAAUGCGUAGAGAUGUGGAGGAACACCAGUGGCGAAGGCGACUCUCUGGUCUGUAACUGACGCUGAGGAGCGAAAGCGUGGGGGAGCAAACAGGAUUAGAUACCCUGGUAGUCCACGCCGUAAACGA